rnacentral:rRNA from 1 species
UACAGAGGUCUCAAGCGUUGUUCGGAUUCAUUGGGCGUAAAGGGUGCGUAGGUGGCAUGGUAAGUCGGAUGUGAAAUCCCGGGGCUCAACCCCGGAACUGCAUUCGAUACUGCUGCGCUAGAGUACUGGAGAGGAGAUUGGAAUUUACGGUGUAGCAGUGAAAUGCGCAGAUAUCAGGAGGAACACCAAUGGCGAAGGCAGCUCGCUGGGACGGUACUGACACUGAGACGCGAAAGCGUGGGGAGCAAACAGG